rnacentral:rRNA from 1 species
AUGUUCCUAACAACUGUUGCCAGGCCUCGAUAUAACAAUGAGGGGGAGCUAACAUUCGAUGGGAAGAUCGGCAUUUGGGCAUUCAUCGAAGAGAGUGAGGCAAAGCGGACAAGUCAGAACAGAACAAAGGGAACAAAAGUGUUGACAUCACUGAAAGUAACCAGGCCUAUGUGGAGAGAUUAUCUGAUCAAUAAGGUUAUCCCGGCAAUUCAGGAUAAGUGGCCUGACAAUGAUGAGGGAGCAACAAUAUUCAUCCAACAGGAUAACGCAAAGCCUCAUGUCCUUCCCAAUGAUGUAGCUUUUCAAGAAGCUGUGGAACAAACUGAUCUUGACAUCCGAUUGCUACAACAGCCCCCAAAUAGCCCUGAGUUAAAUUGUUUGGACCUCUGCUUCCAUAACUCUCUCCAGUCUCUAACCGACUGCAGGUCACCUACAAACAUCCAGGAACUGGUAUAG